GGAUCCAGACUUUGAUUCUGGCUCAGGAUGAACGCUAGCUACAGGCUUAACACAUGCAAGUCGAGGGGCAGCAUGUCGGUUGCUUGCAACCGAUGAUGGCGACCGGCGCACGGGUGAGUAACGCGUAUCCAACCUACCCUUGUCCAUCGGAUAACCCGUCGAAAGGCGGCCUAACACGAUAUGCGGUUCACAGCAGGCAUCUAAGGUGAACGAAAUGUGAAGGAGAAGGAUGGGGAUGCGUCUGAUUAGCUUGUUGGCGGGGUAACGGCCCACCAAGGCUACGAUCAGUAGGGGUUCUGAGAGGAAGGUCCCCCACAUUGGAACUGAGACACGGUCCAAACUCCUACGGGAGGCAGCAGUGAGGAAUAUUGGUCAAUGGACGAGGGUCUGAACCAGCCAAGUAGCGUACAGGAUGACGGCCCUAUGGGUUGUAAACUGCUUUUAUAGGGGGAUAAAGUGUGCCACGUGUGGCAUAUUGCAGGUACCCUAUGAAUAAGGACCGGCUAAUUCCGUGCCAGCAGCCGCGGUAAUACGGAAGGUCCGGGCGUUAUCCGGAUUUAUUGGGUUUAAAGGGAGCGUAGGCCGUUUGGUAAGCGUGUUGUGAAAUGUCGGGGCUCAACCUGGGCAUUGCAGCGCGAACUGCCAGACUUGAGUGCGCAGGAAGUAGGCGGAAUCCGUCGUGUAGCGGUGAAAUGCUUAGAUAUGACGAAGAACUCCGAUUGCGAAGGCAGCCUGCUGUAGCACAACUGACGCUGAAGCUCGAAAGCGUGGGUAUCGAACAGGAUUAGAUACCCUGGUAGUCCACGCGGUAAACGAUGGAUGCUCGCUGUUUGCGUCUGACGUAAGCGGCCAAGCGAAAGCGUUAAGCAUCCCACCUGGGGAGUACGCCGGCA
rnacentral:rRNA from 1 species